UCCUAAGAAUAAGCAAAGAAAGUGGUUUCUUGAGGUAGAAUCUCUUCCUAGUGAACAUGCUUGAGAC
rnacentral:pre_miRNA from 1 species